GUCUCACUUCAUCGAAAACAAUUCACGGGAAUCAACGCUAUGCAACUAAUGCGGUAAAUUCACAUAACCUACAGCUGAACCAAGGCCCAUCAGUGUGGAGGAACGACUGGGCAUCUGAACUCAUCAUGUACAUUUCAUAUGAAUGCUGAUACUAGAUGACCUGAUGUGACAUUCGGUGUAUCCAAAGUGGUCUCCCUUCCUCUGUGACGAAGGGGUUUUGCGGAGGAUGCACUCAUGUCUGUUUCAAAGGACUUGGAAUCUCCUGCAUUUCUUGUGGCACAGGUAAAUCCAGA